GAUGAACGCUGGCGGCGUGCCUAAUACAUGCAAGUCGAACGAAACUUCUUUAUCACCGAGUGCUUGCACUCACCGAUAAAGAGUUGAGUGGCGAACGGGUGAGUAACACGUGGGCAACCUGCCCAAAAGAGGGGGAUAACACUUGGAAACAGGUGCUAAUACCGCAUAACCAUAGUUACCGCAUGGUAACUAUGUAAAAGGUGGCUAUACUACCGCUUUUGGAUGGGCCCGCGGCGCAUUAGCUAGUUGGUAGGGUAAAGGCUUACCAAGGCAAUGAUGCAUAGCCGAAUUGAGAGGUUGAUCGGCCACAUUGGGACUGAGACACGGCCCAAACUCCUACGGGAGGCAGCAGUAGGGAAUCUUCCACAAUGGGCGAAAGCCUGAUGGAGCAACGCCGCGUGGGUGAAGAAGGUCUUCGGAUCGUAAAACCCUGUUGUUAGAGAAGAAAGUGCGUGAGAGUAACUGUUCACGUUUCGACGGUAUCUAACCAGAAAGCCACUGCUAACUACGUG
rnacentral:rRNA from 1 species